UCCACCAGCACUGUUUCCUUAAAGAGAGGGGAAAUUCUUUAAACCAGGCUGGCAUUGGAGCCGAGUGCAGAAGCGGACCAGAGGAUCCUAAUAGGAAGUGAUGUGUAAAGAAGUUAGAAAUCCAAACGCAUUCCGGGGGCUGCCGCUGCUGCACUGGCUUCUCCUGCUGGCGAACAGACGGCACUUGCUCUUCAAAGCUAAGUUGCUAACAGCAGGGUCAAAGCGCCGAGCCUCUGUACAAGACUUACAAAUUUGGGAUCUUCAGCAUGAUGUCAUGUCUUAAAAUGAUAAGCUGGGCCAAGGAGAGAAACGGCAUUUUGCAAAGAACGUGCGCCCAUUCUCAUGUUUACGCUACUUUAAGAUGAAGGGUCUAAUAAGUCAUGGGCUAUGUUGCUUUAAAGGGAAGUUUUAUAACUGAGAUGAAUCACAACUGCCGGAGAUCAAAGUUGAAAAACAUCAAUGAUGCCAUAGGGUACUUUUUAAUCUUGUAAUGAGUGAUGAUCACGUGUUCUUAUGAAGUGAGUCCAACUGCCAACGCCAGAUGUGUAUAUUAGAAAGGGAGUUGUUUGUGAUGCGACAGGCCUGGCUCAGCUGCCAGAGACAGAAAACAUGGAAGGAUGAACCCUUUCAAUUUUGACUAAAAAGCAAGUCUUGGCAGAUGUGUUGUUGAUAAGUAGGGCCCCAGAGUGGAGUUCGGGUACCAUGCAGCACCCCGCCUGGGCGUUUGUAGCCCACAAAAAGUGUCGCUCAUCAGCUCUGCACAGCUCUCCCCAGGCAGUGGGAUAUAAAUAUGUGUUCAAACCACGAUUUAUAACACGG
rnacentral:lncRNA from 1 species